rnacentral:rRNA from 1 species
AUCAGGGCUCAGAUUGAACGCUGGCGGCAGGCCUAACACAUGCAAGUCGAACGGUAACAGGAAGAAGCUUGCUUCUUUGCUGACGAGUGGCGGACGGGUGAGUAAUGUCUGGGAAACUGCCUGAUGGAGGGGGAUAACUACUGGAAACGGUAGCUAAUACCGCAUAACGUCGCAAGACCAAAGAGGGGGGACCUUCGGGUCCCGUCCUUUGUCCACUCGGAUGUGCCCACGAUGGGAGUUAGCUAGUAGGUGGGGUAACGGG